GACGAACGCUGGCGGCGUGCCUAAUACAUGCAAGUCGAGCGCAGGAAGUCGACGGAACCCUUCGGGGGGAAGUCGACGGAAUGAGCGGCGGACGGGUGAGUAACACGUAAAGAACCUGCCCUCAGGUCUGGGAUAACCACGAGAAAUCGGGGCUAAUACCGGAUGGGUCAUCGGACCGCAUGGUCCGAGGAUGAAAGGCGCUCCGGCGUCGCCUGGGGAUGGCUUUGCGGUGCAUUAGCUAGUUGGUGGGGUAAUGGCCCACCAAGGCGACGAUGCAUAGCCGACCUGAGAGGGUGAUCGGCCACACUGGGACUGAGACACGGCCCAGACUCCUACGGGAGGCAGCAGUAGGGAAUCUUCCAAAAUGGACGAAAGUCUGAUGGAGCAACGCCGCGUGAACGAUGAAGGCCUUCGGGUCGUAAAGUUCUGUUGUAAGGGAAGAACAAGUGCCGCAGGCGAUGGCGGCACCUUGACGGUACCUUGCGAGAAAGCCACGGCUAACUACGUGCCAGCCGCCGCAGUAAGAC
rnacentral:rRNA from 1 species